ensembl:snRNA U7 U7 small nuclear RNA
AAGUGUUACAGCUCUUUUAGAAUUUGUCUAGCAGUCUUUUGAUUUUUGCCGGAAAACCUC